UCAGUAAAGAGGUUCACUUUGUGAAAUUACCGGAAAAAAAAAAGAAAGUGGUCGUUCCAUCUCCCUCGGAGUGAGCGCCUUGAAAUCGGCCCUGUGGACGGCAGGCCUGGCUGACUGAACGCAGUAGGAGGCCUGCGAAGAGGUUAACUUAGAAACCAAAGUAACGGGCCGUGAGUCACACGGUGUUCCAGCACCGGCAAAGACGUGGGCAGGACGCCGUGGGCAAGACGCCAAAGCCACGACGCAGGCAUGCCCCAGAGCUCCCCAGCGUGCUUCCACCCACUGCUUAUAAGGCCGAGAAAGUAGGGGGAUCCCGCGCGCACCUUGGUCCUGUCUCCAGAAGACCUCACAACCGACAGACGAGGGUGACUGGCCAGAGCAGCCCUGAGCCCAAAUGGAAGGCCUCUGCUGAAACUGGAUGGCUUGGACUUCCUCUAAGGUUUGUGAUACUCAGGCCCUGUAAGGCACGGGCACAGGGCAGGAGCCCACCUUGCCAGGUCUGUGGGCAGAAUGGCCAACUGCACUUAUGGAGUAGUGGGAUCUCUAGCAGCAGUUCGUGAAACUUGUCCAAACUGCAUUCAAGUCAAAAUGAGCUCCAUUAGAGCACAUGUGAACAGAAGCAUGGCAGCUCCAGUUCCAUCCAUCGAUGGCAGUGACCUCUGGGACGUGAACCUCUAUGAUCCUCAGUUUCCACUUAGGUUAAAGGACUAA
rnacentral:lncRNA from 1 species